rnacentral:rRNA from 1 species
AUACGGAGGAUCCGAGCGUUAUCCGGAUUUAUUGGGUUUAAAGGGUGCGCAGGCGGGAGAUUAAGUCGGCGGGGAAAUUUUGGCGCGCAACUGUAAAAGUGGCUUCGAAACUGGGUUUCUUUAGUGUAGAUGAAGGAGGCGGAAUUUGUUGUGUAACGGGUGAAUGCAUAGAUAUCACGAGGAACUCCGAUUGCGCAGGCAGCUUACUAAACUACUACUGACGCUCAGGCACGAAGGCGUGGGGAUCAAACAGGAUUAGAUACCCUGGUAGUCCACGCAGUAAACGAUGAUUACUAGCUGUUUGCGAUACAAUGUAAGCGGCUGAGCGAAAGCGUUAAGUAAUCCACCUGGGGAGUACGUUCGCAAGAAUGAAACUCAAAUGAAUUGGCGGGG